UCCUCGAUGGUCUAGUGGUCAUGAUUUCCGCUUGUCAGGUUAACAACUGCAAGCGCGGGAGACCUGGGUUCGAUUCCCAGUCGGGGAG
rnacentral:tRNA from 1 species